UACGUAGGGUGCAAGCGUUGUCCGGAAUUAUUGGGCGUAAAGAGCUCGUAGGCGGUUUGUCGCGUCUGCUGUGAAAUCCCGAGGCUCAACCUCGGGCCUGCAGUGGGUACGGGCAGACUAGAGUGCGGUAGGGGAGAUUGGAACUCCUGGUGUAGCGGUGGAAUGCGCAGAUAUCAGGAAGAACACCGAUGGCGAAGGCAGAUCUCUGGGCCGUAACUGACGCU
rnacentral:rRNA from 1 species